UCGCAUGGCAGCCGGUUCCGGUUCGAGACAAGAUUUUGCCUUAUUUCCCAGGCUGGUCUCGAACUCCUGGGCUCAAGCCAUUCGUCUGCCUCAGCCUCCCAAAGUGCUAGUAUUACAGAUGAUAUUGCUGAUAGGAUGAGGAUGGAUGCUGGAGAAGUGACUUUAGUGAACCACAACUCCGUAUUCAAAACCCACCUCCUGCCACAAACAGGUUUUCCAGAGGACCAGCUUUCGCUUUCUGACCAGCAGAUUUUAUCUUCCAGGCAAGGACAUUUGGACCGAUCUUUUACAUGUUCCACAAGAAGUGCAGCUUAUAAUCCAAGCUAUUACUCAGAUAAUCCUUCCUCAGACAGUUUUCUUGGCUCAGGCGAUUUAAGAACCUUUGGCCAGAGUGCAAAUGGCCAAUGGAGAAAUUCUACCCCAUCGUCAAGCUCAUCUUUACAAAAAUCAAGAAACAGCCGAAGUCUUUACCUCGAAACCCGAAAGACCUCAAGUGGAUUAUCAAACAGUUUUGCGGGAAAGUCAAACCAUCACUGCCAUGUAUCUGCAUAUGAAAAAUCUU
rnacentral:lncRNA from 1 species